AACGAACGCUGGCGGCGUGCCUAACACAUGCAAGUCGAACGAGAAAGGCCCCUUCGGGGGCCCGGUACAGUGGCGCACGGGUGAGUAACACGUGGGUAAUCUGCCCUCGAGUGGGGAAUAACCCAGGGAAACUUGGGCUAAUACCGCAUAACAUCCCGUUCCCCUCGGAGAACGGGAUCAAAGCCGGGGAUCGCAAGACCUGGCGCUCGAGGAGGAGCCCGCGGCUGAUUAGCUUGUUGGUGGGGUAACGGCCUACCAAGGCGACGAUCAGUAGCCGGCCUGAGAGGGUGAUCGGCCACACUGGAACUGAGACACGGUCCAGACUCCUACGGGAGGCAGCAGUGAGGAAUUUUGCGCAAUGGGCGAAAGCCUGACGCAGCAACGCCGCGUGGAUGAUGAAGGCCCUCGGGUCGUAAAAUCCUGUCGAGUGGGAAGAAAAACUCCCGGUGAAUAGCCGGGAGGAUUGACUGUACCACUGGAGGAAGCCCCGGCUAACUCCGUG
rnacentral:rRNA from 1 species